rnacentral:misc_RNA from 1 species
ACACCUCAACUCUCAUGGUUUGCCAUGAUGAGCUUGGACUUUGGGGGUCUUGCUGGCCUGUUGGUCGGCUCCUCUCAAAUGAAUCAGCUUGCCAGUGUUUGGUGGCAUCACAGGUGUGAUAACUAUCUACGCUUGUCGCUGUCCGCCAGGUAACCUUCAGCGAUGGAGGUUCGCUGGAGCUCAUAGACGUCUCUCCUCAGUGAGGACAGCUUUUGAAC